rnacentral:lncRNA from 1 species
UCAAACCUCACUAAACAUAUGUAGAGGGUGUGUGAGUUAUUAAUAAAAUUAAAAAAAAAAAAAAAAGCCUACACUUGAUUAAAAUAGAUGAUCAUAAGCCUAUUUGCGGAUAUGCCACUUAAUCUAAAUAUCGAAUAUGCAGAAAUUGUUGGGUUUCACGCAGCGGAUUGGUCAACAAGAUAUAAUAUCGAGAAUGCUGUUGGGAAAAAUAAUAUAAUGGAAGUAACAACUCAAACCACAUAAAUGAUAAAUAUGUAAAGAUGUAUAGAGGAAAAGAAACACCAGAUAUAACGUGGUUCGGUAAUGUGCCUACGUCCACGGGGCAGCAAUAACAAAAACUUCCACUAUGAAAUAAUGGGUACACGAGAUACACAACUUCAAGAACACUCCUUGAAGGAAACCCUCUCUCACACUUGUUUUGCUACCAACUACUAUACACUCUCAACUUGGAGUGGACACUCUUCUCUACUUGGAAGAUGAAGUUUUAGAUGGAUGAGAUGCUUGGAAUGAGCAAAUGACUCUCCUUUUAUAGGCUAAGGAGGAAUCAUCUAGACCUCUCAUUAGUGCUCUCCCAAUAAAUGGUACUUCAUGAAUCUUCCUGUAACUCAUGCCUUGACUAUAACUCCAAUACCAUCCAUGUUUUUUGUGUAACUCAUGUAACCUUGUGUAACUCAUGUAACUUAUGUAACUCAUGAAACCUUUCAUUACUAUUUUAUUUAUUUUGGUCUGGAUAUUAUAACAAUCUCCCCCUCCAGACCAACCCGGGGAAAUACGCGGCAAGACUUCUAUUUGAAGUCCAUCCCAGCGGACUUGCUGCAAUACUCCAACUUCUGUUGUGGCACAACCUUAGUCAACAUAUCUGAAGUAUUCUUGUUGGUGUGAAUUUUCCUCAACUACAAAAACUUCUUUGACACUACAUCUCGUAUCCAAUGAUAACGUAGAUCAAUGUGCUUAGUGCGAGGGUGAUAAACUGAAUUUUUACUCAAGUGAAUUGCACUCUGACAAUCACAAUACACCACAUACCUUUCUUGCUUCACACCCAACUCCUGAAUGAACCUUUGCAGCCACAUCAUUUCCUUGCCUGCUUCGUUUGCCGCUAUGUACUGGGACUCAGUGGUGGAUAAGGCAACACACUUCUGUAACUUGGACUGCCAUGAUACAGCUCCCCCACAAAAUGUAAAUAAGUACCUAGAAGUGGACUUUCUGUUAUCAAGGUCCCCAGCUAAAUCUGCAUUUGUGAAACACCCAAAACGGGUUCGGAUCUACCAAAAGACAAGCACAACUUUGAGGUGCCCCUCAAAUAUUUGAGUAUCCACUUAACAGCUUCCCAAUGCUCUUUGCCAGGGUUAGAUAAAUAUCUACUAACAACUCCAACUGCAUGAGUAAUAUUUGGUAGAGUACAUACCAUGGCAUACAUUAGACUACCAACAGCUGAUGAGUAAGGGAUACCUACCAUCUUGUCUUUCUCCUCUUGUGUAGUUGGGCAUAAUAAUCUGCUUAACUUAAAGUGAUUACCUAGAGGUGAGCUCACUGACUUAGCUUCUUCCAUGUUGAACCUUUCAAGCACCCGUUCAACAUACCUCUCCUGUGACAACCAUAAUUUAUUUGUCUUCCUAUCACGGGUAAUCUCCAUGCCCAAAAUCUACUUAGCUGGACCUAAGUCUUUCAUAUCAAAAGACUUUGAUAAAUCUGCCUUCAACUUGCAGAUCAUAGAAAUUUCUUGCCCCACUAUCAACAUAUCAUCAACAUAAAGCAACAAAAUUAUAAAUUUACCUUCAGUGAACCGUUGAAUGUACACACAUGGGUCUGCAUCAGUUCUUUUGUAUCCAUGACCCACCAUGAAUGAGUCAAACUUCUUGUACCAUUGCCUUGGCGCUUGCUUCAGUCCAUACAAACUUUUCUUUAGCUUGCAAACCAUGUGCUCCUUGCCCUCGACCUCAAAACCUUCCGGUUGCUCCAUGUAUAUUUCUUCCUCUAAAUCACCAUGUAGGAAUGCUGUUUUUACAUCUAACUGCUCCACCUCAAGAUCCAUGCUAGCUGCCAUGCCCAAAAUAACUCUGAUAGAUGUCAUUUUGACAACUGGUGAGAAGAUCUCAUCAAAAUCUACUCCUUCCUUCUGCCCGAAACCUUUGACAACCAAGCGAGCUUUGAACUUUGUCAACUGUUCAUUCUCGUCCCUUUUCAACUUGAACACCCAUUUGUUUUUGAGUGUUUUUCUGCCUUUAGGAAGCUCCACCAACUCAUAGGUGCCAUUUUUCAACAAGGAUUCCAUCUCAGACUUGAUAGCUAAUAUCCACUUGUCUCCAUCUACAUGAGUCUUCGCCUCCUCAAAGCAUUCAGGCUCUCCAUCACCAGUCAACAGAAUGUAUUUAGAAUAUGGAUUAUCUCCAUCACUGGUGAGCAAAAUAUAUUGAGAAGAAGGAUACUUGGUACUUUGCUUCGGUACUCUAUGAGAUCUUCGAACUGGUGUUUAGGCAUUUUUUUGUUGUUGUUCUUGAUUAGGCUCUUCAUGAUCAGGCUCCCCCUGAUCAUGAUCAUCCUGAACCUGAUUCUCCUGGUCAUCAUUUGCAGCACCUGCAGCUUCUGGUUCUACCGUAUCAGGGACGUCUUCAUUAACCAUUUCUUGAGGUUUGUUAGACUCUUCUUGGAGCGGAGACGAGUCAUAAGCGAGGCGCUCUGCAUUUUCUAGUAUGUUGUCAAAAUUCGCAACAGUCUGGUCCUCAUGGAACACCACAUCUCUGCUUCUGAAUAACUUCUUGGUUAUUGGAUUCCACAACUGGUAGCCCAUCUCUUCAUUACCGUACCCAAGAAAGAUGCACGGCACGGCCUUGUCAUCUAGCUUCAAUCUUUUCUCCUUUGGAACAUGUGCAAAUGCUUUGCACCCAAAUACCUUCAAGUGAGAAUAUGAAGCACUUCUACCGGUCCACACACUCUCUGGAGUCUCCAAGCCCAACGGUACACAUGAUGUUCGGUUGAUGAGGUGACAAGCGGUUGUAAUUGCUGCGCCCCAAAACUCUUUCGCCAGGUUAGCCGUCUUUAGCAUGCUUCUCACUUUUUCCAAGAUGGUGCGGUUCAUCCUCUCUGCUACACCAUUAUGUUGUUGGGUGCCAGGAACUGUCUUUAUGUGUCUAAUGUCAUGCUUCGAACAAUAACCUCUGAACUCGUUCGAAGUGUACUCUCCACCAGUAUCACUGCGGAGACACUUGAGGGUUUGUCCCGUCUCCCUCUCAACCAUGGCAUGGAACUCUUUGAAGGUUUGGAACACCUGGUCUUUUGAUUUUAACAAAUACACCCAAACCUUUCGUGAAGCAUCAUCGAUAAAAGUGACAAAAUAUUUGCUAUGACCUAGUGAAUCAACUUCCAUAGGACCACAUACAUCCGAGUGUACUAGGUCUAAAACAUUCUCUUUCUUUGUAAAUGUAUUAGCAAAACUAACCUUAUGUUGCUUACCAAAUAAACAAUGAUCACAAGAUUCAGGUACCUUUGGGAAACAGAAUAAGAGACUUCUUUGCCAGAACUUGCAAUCCCUUCUCACUUACGUGGCCUAACCGCUUGUGCCAUAGACUUGGAGAAGAGUCAUCCAUGACAUUCAACUCCCCUUUGUAUAUCUUGCCAUAUGUCUUGUAGAGGGUGCAACACAACUUCCCUCUAGCCACCACUAGUGAUCCUCUGGUAAGCCUCCACUUUUGAUCUCCUCCGUGAUGAUGAAAACCUUCUCGAUCAAGCACGCUGGUUGACAUCAAAUUGAGACGUAGGCCCGGAACAUGUCGAACAUCUUUCAACAUCAGCUUGUUGCCCAAAUUGGUCUCAAAGCAGACAUCUCCAAUUCCUGCAAUCUUGGAGUAGCCUUAAUUGCCCAUCUUUACAAUCCUAAAUUCACCACCUUUGUAUGUCAAGAAAAACUCCUUAUUUGGAGUGGCAUGGAAAGAGGCUCCGGAAUCAACGACCCAUACAACACCGGGAGUAUCGUCAGCAUGUAGGCAUUCUCCUUCAAGACAAAGGAACUCAUACACAUCAUUGCACACAGUAGCGGUUGUGUUCUUUGUGUCAUCCUUCGGUUGAUGAGUAUUGCCACAACACCGGGAGUAUCGUCAGCAUGUAGGCAUUCUCCUUCAAGACAAAGGAACUCAUACACAUCAUUGCACACAGUAGCGGUUGUGUUCUUUGUGUCAUCCUUCGGUUGAUGAGUAUUGCCAUCUCGAGCCUCCCUAGGAUCCUUUUUAAACUUGUUGCAAUUUUUCUUCAUGUGCCCAAAAAUACCACAAUGAUGGCACUUUCCAUUAAACCUUGUUCUGGAUCGGCUUGCACUCCUUCCAUGGCCUCUAGGUCCUUUACUCUUGCUCCUACCUCUAUUCUCCGCCACAAAGACUUGGCUAUUGUUGGAGCUAGAGGAUUUUCUCCUUGUCUCUUCAUUCAACAUGUUACUUUUAACAUUAUCCAUAGUCAAUUUACCAUCAGGAGCAGAGUUACUUANNNNNNNNNNNNNNNNNNNNUCUCAUUUGCCACAUGGUGGAAUACACUAUCAUCCAUCCACUCUCGGAUAUGACCGAUUGCCUUACGAUUCAUCUUUGUCCAAUUAGCAUCUGAAGUCCCUUCCGGCUUAGCAUCAACUCCUUCGAUGGGCUCAUGCAAAUCUUUGCAAUAGAGUAUGUCCUCCAUUCGUGGCUUCCAUGUAAUCCAAUUUGAGUGGUUGAGUCGAACCAUUGUACUCCUUGAACCUUCCAUUUUAACGCCCACGCCCUACGAACCAAGGGCUAUGAUACCACUGUUGGGAAAAAUAAUAUAAUGGAAGUAACAACUCAAACCACACAAAGGAUAAAUAUGUAAAGAUGUAAAAGAUAGAGGAAAAGGAACACCAGAUAUAAAGUGGUUCGGCAAUGUGCCUACGUCCACGGGGCAGCAAUAACAAAAACUUCCACUAUGAAAUAAUGGGUACACGAGAUACACAACUUCAAGAACACUCCUUGAAGGAAACCCUCUCUCACACUUGUUUUGCUACCAACUACUCUACACUCUCAACUUGGAGUGGACACUCUUCUCUACUUGGAAGAUGAAGUUUUAGAUGGAUGAGAUGCUUGGAAUGAGCAAAUGACUCUCCUUUUAUAAGCUAAGGAGGAAUCAUCUAGACCUCUCAUUAGUGCUCUCCCAAUAAAUGGUACUUCAUGAAUCUUCCUGUAACUCAUGCCUUGACUAUAACUCCAAAACCAUCCAUGUUCUUUGUGUAACUCAUGUAACUUAUGUAACUCAUGAAACCUUUCAUUACUAUUUUAUUUAUUUUGGUCUGGAUAUUAUAACAAAUGCAACUAUAAUAGGAAAAACAAACAUACACAACAACACAAGAUUUAACGUGGUUUCCUCGCUCUUUGAGGUACGUCCACUGGGCGUGAUCCGAUCUUUCUUUACUAUUGAGAAUAAAGAGAUCUAAAUACAAUGUGUUUCACUCAAGUUUAUAACCCAAACCCAAACCCAAACCCGAACCCGAACCCGAACCCGAACCCUUGUACACCUCUCUCAACUCACACUCUCAAUAUCCAGUAAAGCUAACUCUCUUACAACACUUGAUAGAGAAUUAUAUUCUCUCUAGACAAGAGACUACAACUUCGGAUGCCACACUACACAAUGCCAAUGUCGAAUGGCUAUUUAUAGCCAACUUCUUUUGCAGCCAACAUGUAGAAACCAUGCAAAGAAGAAAAGCAAGACACUACACAAUGCCAAUGUCGAAUGGCUAUUUAUAACCAACUUCUUUUGCAGCCAACAUGUAGAAACCAUGCAAAGAAGAAAAGCAAAGUCUUGUUUUUCCUUCUUUCCCGUUCAAUGUUC